CAUCCACUUCGAGGAAAGAUGACUCUCUAAGAGUUGCACAAAGCAAUCCACGUUGGGCACCAUCAUCCAAGCCUUCACCUCGCCCACCAAUCGAUGCGAGGAAACUGAGGGACAAGGACAAUGCUCAUCCCGCAUCUCCAAAAUCAAAUAAAAAACCUACCUCCACCAUGGCACUGUCAACUUCGGCUGAAGAAGACAGCGUCG
rnacentral:lncRNA from 1 species